GGGCGGUUAGCUCAGUUGGUCAGAGCGCCUGCCUUACAAGCAGGAGGUCCCCAGUUCGAGCCUGGGACCGCCCAUCA
rnacentral:tRNA from 1 species